AGCAGUAGCCGCGGGAAUACGGAGGGGGCUAGCGUUGUUCGGAAUUACUGGGCGUAAAGCGCACGUAGGCGGCUUUGCAAGUCAGAGGUGAAAGCCCGGGGCUCAACUCCGGAAUAGCCUUUGAGACUGCAUCGCUUGAACACGGGAGAGGUGAGUGGAGUUCCGAGUGUAGAGGUGAAAUUCGUAGAUAUUCGGAAGAACACCAGUGGCGAAGGCGGCUCACUGGACCGUUGUUGACGCUGAGGUGCGAAAGCGUGGGGAGCAAACAGGAUUAGAUACCCGAGUAGUCCCUGUCUCUUAUAC
rnacentral:rRNA from 1 species